UCAAAAACUUAGAAGAGGAGCAGUAGGGACGGAAUGGGAUCCAGAGAGCCGCUGGGUGGUGCGAAGCGGUUUCCGUGAAAUUCUGAACUCGCCUCGGAGUUGCAUGCUGAAGGGGAUUUUUUAGUCUCUGGGUAGGCAGAGCCGGUCCGACCGUUACCAGGAAAUGAGUGCGUGAAAGCCCAGGGCCUUCACGAAAUAGAGUGGUACCGCGUGUGAAUCAAGCCCCACGUCUCUAUG
rnacentral:ncRNA from 1 species